rnacentral:rRNA from 1 species
CGCGGCCUAUCAGCUUGUUGGUGGGGUAAUGGCCUACCAAGGCGACGACGGGUAGCCGGCCUGAGAGGGUGACCGGCCACACUGGGACUGAGACACGGCCCAGACUCCUACGGGAGGCAGCAGUGGGGAAUAUUGCACAAUGGGCGCAAGCCUGAUGCAGCGACGCCGCGUGAGGGAUGACGGCCUUCGGGUUGUAAACCUCUUUCGCCAGGGACGAAGCGCGAGUGACGGUACCUGGAUAAGAAGCACCGGCUAACUACGUGCCAGCAGCCGCGGUAAUACGUAGGGUGCGAGCGUUGUCCGGAAUUAUUGGGCGUAAAGAGCUCGUAGGCGGUUUGUCGCGUCGGCUGUGAAAUCUGGAGGCUUAACCUUCAGCGUGCAGUCGAUACGGGCAGACUUGAGUUCGGCAGGGGAGACUGGAAUUCCUGGUGUAGCGGUGAAAUGCGCAGAUAUCAGGAGGAACACCGGUGGCGAAGGCGGGUCUCUGGGCCGAUACUGACGCUGAGGAGCGAAAGCGUGGGGAGCGAACAGGAUUAGAUACCCUGGUAGUCCACGCUGUAAACGUUGGGCGCUAGGUGUGGGCGACAUUCCACGUUGUCCGUGCCGUAGCUAACGCAUUAAGCGCCCCGCCUGGGGAGUACGG